UACGGAGGGGACUAGCGUUGUUCGGAAUUACUGGGCGUAAAGCGCACGUAGGCGGAUUUGUAAGUCAGGGGUGAAAUCCUGGAGCUCAACUCCAGAACUGCCUUUGAUACUGACGGUCUUGAGUUCGGGAGAGGUGAGUGGAACUGCGAGUGUAGAGGUGAAAUUCGUAGAUAUUCGCAAGAACACCAGUGGCGAAGGCGGCUCACUGGCCCGAUACUGACGCUGAGGUGCGAAAGCGUGGGGAGCAAACAGGG
rnacentral:rRNA from 1 species